ACGCAAUAGAUACCCUGGUAGUCCACGCCCUAAACGAUGUCUACUAGUUGUCGGGUCUUAAUUGACUUGGUAAACGCAGCUAAACGCGUGAAGUAGACCGCCUGGGGAGUACGGUCGCAAGAUUAAAACUCAAAGGAAUUGACGGGGACCCGCACAAGCGGUGGAUGAUGUGGAUUAAAUUCGAUGCAACGCGAAAAACCUUACCUACCCUUGACAUGGAUGGAAUCCCUGAGAGAUUGGGGAGUGCCCGAAAGGGAACCAUUACACAGGUGCUGCAUGGCUGUCGUCAGCUCGUGUCGUGAGAUGUUGGGUUAAGUCCCGCAACGAGCGCAACCCUUGUCAUUAGUUGCUACGAAAGGGCACUCUAAUGAGACUGCCGGUGACAAACCGGAGGAAGGUGGGGAUGACGUCAAGUCCUCAUGGCCCUUAUGGGUAGGGCUUCACACGUCAUACAAUGGUACAUACAGAGGGCCGCCAACCCGGCAGGGGGAGCUAAUCCCAGAAAGUGUAUUGUAGUCCGGAUUGUAGUCUGCAACUCGACUGC
rnacentral:rRNA from 1 species